rnacentral:rRNA from 1 species
AGUGAACGCUGGCGGUAGGCCUAACACAUGCAAGUCGAACGGCAGCACAGUAAGAGCUUGCUCUUACGGGUGGCGAGUGGCGGACGGGUGAGGAAUACAUCGGAAUCUACUUUUUCGUGGGGGAUAACGUAGGGAAACUUACGCUAAUACCGCAUACGACCUACGGGUGAAAGCAGGGGAUCUUCGGACCUUGCGCGAUUGAAUGAGCCGAUGUCGGAUUAGCUAGUUGGCGGGGUAAAGGCCCACCAAGGCGACGGUCCGUAGCUGGUCUGAGAGGAUGGUAAGCCACACUGGAACUGAGACACGGUCCAGACUCCUACGGGAGGCAGCAGUGGGGAAUAUUGGACAAUGGGCGCAAGCCUGAUCCAGCCAUACCGCGUGGGUGAAGAAGGCCUUCGGGUUGUAAAGCCCUUUUGUUGGGAAAGAAAAGCAGCAGGUUAAUACCCCGCUGUUCUGACGGUACCCAAAGAAUAAGCACCGGCUAACUUCGUG